UACGUAGGGUGCGAGCGUUGCCCGGAUUUAUUGGGCGUAAAGGGCGCGUAGGCGGCUCGGCACGUCCGUUGUGAAAUCGCCCGGCUCAACUGGGCGGGGUCAGCGGAUACGGUCGAGCUUGAGCAAGCUAGGGGGCAAUGGAAUUCCCGGUGUAGUGGUGGAAUGCGUAGAUAUCGGGAGGAACACCAGUGGCGAAGGCGACUUCUUGGCCUGUUCUUGACGCUGAGGCGCGAAAGCUGGGGGAGCAAACGGG
rnacentral:rRNA from 1 species